CACAGUAAGAAUGGCUUCAUCAAACGGAUUGGAAUACUAAAAAAAAAAUCCUAGCUUAGGCUUCCUCAGCUCUGGAAAAUAUUAUACUUUAACGUCCGUGGCCCCGUGAGCCUCUGGCCGCCCCCUCCAGGACUCAGUGCUGGCAGCCUCUUUCUGCAUGAAUGCAGCAUUUCCUAGUGUGCAGUGGAUCAACUUGGGGUGAAUUGUGGCAGUCUUGGGAGACAUCUUGUGUUUUAAGAUUAUUUGUCCAUCUUUUCUCUCAGGUGUUGAUUUCAUAAUUUAACCUUUACAAGGUGAUGGCAUUUUCCUCAUCAUCAAGUUCUGGUGAGGCUUCACAUGGUAACCACCUAACUGCAAUGCCUUUGAGCCAAUAACAAUCAAGGCCAACAAUAGCAAGCUGGUUUAAGAAAAAAAUCAGUGCAAUCCCUGAUUAUAGGCUGUCUGGGCAGAGGCAGAUUUAUAAAACGUGGAAAGCGUGAUCUUACUCAGAAUUGACAGUACCAGCCAGCCUUCCUUUUGCCAUGAUUCCUGUGUUUUAUUUAGAAGGGGCUGGCGCACAGACCCAUUCUGAGACCCUGAUGACAGCUGAGGACUCUCUCCUGGGAAAAAAGCACAAGCUCCCUCUGCUGCCUCCACAUGGACACACACACACAAACAUAUACACUCACACACAUACACACAGAGAUACACACAUACCUCCAGUGCACACUCAUGCAUCCACAGGCACUCAUACACACUCACACACACACACACACAGAGACACAAACAUACAUAUAGAGAUACACACAUACCAACAUCACACAUCCACAUCCACAGGCACUCUAACACACACACACAGACACAUAUAUACAAAUACACACAGAGACACAUAUAUACAUACAACAUACACAUGUAUCCACAGGCACUCACACACAUACACUCUCACACACUCAU
rnacentral:lncRNA from 1 species